rnacentral:lncRNA from 1 species
UCACCUUCUGGAAAAAAAUCUCCACCGCUCUAUCUCUGAUUUUUCCCCAGCGCUUGCUUCUCCAGCUCGACUCGUCGGCCUCGCGUCCAACCGCUCAACCAUCUCUAUCUUAUUUUCUACACGCGUGCUCAGCUCUUAGCAAAUUCUGGGCGUUCUUCUCUCUGUACGCGGCUGCCAGCACACACCGCCGAGUCCGCGUGGCUGCUCAGCCAGUACUGCUCACGCCAGCACAACAGUGAUCAGCCAACACUUAUCCUCAACUCCAACUCGUUCAGCCGGUUCUUCAUCCGUCGUCCACAGGCUUCAGACGUAGCUCGCCAGCUUCGACCUCCGCCCUGCCCUUGACCCCACUCGCCCGUUCUUGUUCCCGACGCUCGAGCUCACCUCAGCUUCGCUGUGCCCCUGCGUUCGGCCUCUUCCCUCCACCAGCGGACGUCCUCGGUCUCGCUUUCCUCGCCGUGGCAAGGCCCCGGCCACGACGUCAUCCCCCUGUGAGCCUCAUUGCUGUGUCGCUUGCCUGCACCCUCUUUGUUCGAUGAAAUGGUCAAGUCGAUAACUAUUGCUGUUGCUCACAGCUAAGCUAGCUGUUGAAGUCGUGCCUCGCAUACGCCUAUUCGAUGAAAUGCCCAAACGUCACGUCCGCUCCUUGUCCCAACACCCUGUCACAAUUCCGUGCGUUGCCGGUGAGACAUCGAUUUUCUUCUAUUCAAUUAGUUCUUUGCUUGGUGUCAAUGAUUAACUGUGGUUUAUGUUUGUGUACUAGUGUGUGUUUCGGAAGAGAGGAAUCCCAUAUAUGUGAGGACAGGCAAUCCGUGCAAUAGUUGUUUGAUGUUUGGUGUUAUGCGCAAAUCAGAAAUCGUCAUCAUUAUCCCAAAUAUCGAUUUGGUUUGUGAUAUGGUGAGCCCUCUCGCUACCUUGGCUAGUUAAUUUGAUCGAUGAAUUGAUUACAGUUGCCAACGAUGAUUCUUCUUGUUUUUAGCGCAAGCAUAUUGUGUGUUAUCUUUUAGACCCAUUGUUGCACUUAUAUGCGAUGUUACAUGGUGAUUGAGUUAAUUGUUCUUGUGCUCACAAACAAAAAUUUCCUAUGUGUACAGUUUUAAUUGUGCAACUAAUCUAGUAAAGCAAACUACGUUUUCUGUAAAGAUGUUUUAUAUAAAAUUAGUAGGUAACCUCCCCAUCUUUCUUGUGUUAAAUUUUCAUGACCAUAGGUUUAAUAGUUUAAGAGUUAUGAUUUUCCCAAGUCCAGUUUCAGAAUCUGUCCAGAUUCUGUACUGAUUUCGAAAAUUGCUUUGUUUGACUAAAUUAAACUUAGAAUCAGACCUUAGUAAUUACAGAAGAAUUGUAGUACUUUUCUUAAGUUUUCCAACAAAUUUUGGAAUACCCUUUUUGGUGGUCUAGAGACCAAGUUACAGCUAUUUGAACUAUAGAGUCUGAAUCUGUCCAAAUCUGGACAGCAAUGCUUGUUUGUAUGAACUGACUUUGAUACACAUUGAAUCACCCUGAGAUGUUUAUAAAUGAAUUGUCGACAAUUCUAUCAGAUUUCUAAAAAGUCUAGGAUCACCUGAUUUGGAUUUUUAAAACUUCAGUUAUGAAUUUUUGAAGUAAGUGGUCGAAUUCUGUCCAAAUCUGGACAGAAUUAAAGUUUAGCACUGUUUGACCUUUUAAACUGUCGAAUCAGGUUAUGAUGAUAAUAUAAGAGUUAUAGAGGACUUUCUAAGCUUUCCAGAAAGUCCUAGUUUACUAUUUUUGGAUGCAUAUUUUGUGAGUUAUGAAUAAAACAAUUAAUCGCUGUGCUGCUGUCUAAAAAUUCUGCAAGUAUUAAAUUGUUGGCUUGAAGUUACUAUUGUUUGGCUAAGUAAGUUUAGCUGAUUCUUAAUUGGUGAAGUGAUGCUUUGUUUUAGUAAUUAUCAUGUUCUAUGGUUGUUGAUUGAGUAAAUAUGAUAAAUGGAGAUUGGUCGCUUAAGUUAAUCAUCUUGAAUAAAUGUUCCUCACUAUUCUUAUUAGUUGGAAGUAAAUAGCAUCAAUACGUUUAUUCUAGUUGUAAUCCGAGAGCUAUAUAGUGGGAAGUGCAUUUAGGCGCUUAAAGUCUUUUGCUUCUAGGUUAUAAUCAAAUGAGAUUAUGUAAUAUUUGAUGAUGCUCCACUUGCUAGGACAAAUAGUGUGAUGUGUUAUUUAGCUCGUGCGCUAUGCUAGUUAAUCCGAUGAAAUGGUUUAAAAAGUUAGUUAAAGUAUUUCUAUUCAAAUUCGAAGCCGUAGAUGUCUAAGGCUAAUAAGUUUAAAUUAUGGUAAUCGUUUGGUGUAUGUUCUAGUUAAAGAAGAUCCAUACAUGGUUCACGAUUGUUUGGUGUUUAAGUUAGGUUCGAUUGAUUAGAAGAUCAUGCUUGUUGUGUUAGAGUUAAGGUAUCUAGUGAUUAUUUAUGCUUGCUUAUAAUGUUUUGCUAGAGAAUGUUUAAUCCUAUACCAUAUAACUUCAUAUAAUAUUGUACUAGUUCUUAUGUUCAUACAUGUGCAACCUACAUCCAAAUAGGUACACUAGCUGAAAAAUCGUGCGAAGCGAAGGGUGUGGAUCAAAACAACCCACAAGACGAUGUCGGCCGAUGAGCCCGAAGAUGGAUGGACUAAGCAGAUGUCAGAACAAAAGUUGAUCGUCAACUGGCCUUCAUUUAACAACACUAACGUAGUGUUAUCCCAGGUAAGCCCCGGUGCAUUUGCCACCUCCUUGUUGUUUUUAAAACUUUUAUCACUUAUGUGACAGAAUCUCCCAAGUAAUUAGGCCCACCUACAGUUGUCCUUGUCCAACAGACAUCAGACAACCCUGUAGAUGUUCCUGAAUCACUCGACAAGUUCGGUAUCUUCUUUCUUACCUUUCCAGGAACGUUUUACCCGUCUUGCAGACAUUACAGAACAUCGGAGAUAUAGAAAUGCGGAAGCGAUUACAUAAACUUACAUUUAUUUAGAAAGUAAGAUCAAGUUACUUAUUACAGAUAUGAAACGAGUGCUGAAUAGUAUUAUUACAAUACCAAGGGAGGCAAAAACUCCUCCCGAUAGUUUUUAUAAAGUCCUAAUGGAGGAUCCUUUCCUCCCGCACUUCAUUCCUUGCGUUCUUCCUUUGGUUAUGACUCAACCUGAUAAUUCUCUGAUCAGUGUUGAGAGUUGCUUUGUGUCUGGCUAACCAAUUCAUGCCCAAAAUAACAUCUAUAUCUUGGCCUUUCAGAACGAUCAUAUUAGUAGGAAAGUCCCGUCCGGCCAAAGUUACGGGCACUUGAUAGGCCACUUCUCUAGUAAAUAUUUGUCCCCCUGGUGAGUGAAUUUUAAACCCCUCUUUUGAUUCAUGGCAUGAGAUGCAAUGUUGCUCCACAAAUUUCUUGCUGAUGAAUGUAUGCGAAGCACCAGAAUCAAAGAGAAUAACUGCGGGAUGAUUGGCCACAAGAAACGUACCCAUCAUUACCGGCUCACCGUCCGGCGUAGUGGCCACUUGCGUAUAAUAUAUGUGUCCCGUCUUCUUAGUAUUUUUGCCCACAGUAUUUCCCUUGGCUUGAGAUGAAUUUCCAGAUCCUUGCUAAUUAUUUGACUGGUUCUGCUUUGGAUAAGGGCAAUCCUUGAUAAAAUGCCCAGACUUCCACAAUUGAAACAUCCAGUUGAUGAGCUGGGCAAAGCAGAGAAUCGAGUGCCUGGGGCACCCGGCUGACUUGAUGCAGUAGGGGCAUUAUUGGGACGAAUAAAGAUUGGCCGCUUAAAAGGGAAGGAGGGUGGACGAGAGAAAGAACAAUUCUGGUUGGAGGCCGGAUGACAACCCGUUGCUUCUUCACCGGGCCCUGACUAGGCCUGUCACCUCCAAAACCCUUGGAUUUUCCAGCACCUGCAUACUUUGCUUCUACUGCUAGUGCUGUACUGACAGCUCUUCCAUAA